UCUCCGUAGGUGAACCUGCGGAGGGAUCAUUACUGAGUGAGGGCCCUCGUGGUCCGACCUCCAACCCAUUGUUGUCCGACUCUGUUGCCUCGGGGGCGACCCUGCCGUUUCGACGGCGAGCGCCCCCGGAGGCCUUCAAACACUGCAUCUUUGCGUCGGAGUUUAAGUAAAUUAAACAAAACUUUCAACAACGGAUCUCUUGGUUCUGGCAUCGAUGAAGAACGCAGC
rnacentral:misc_RNA from 1 species